GCUUGUCUCAAAGAUUAAGCCAUGCAUGUCCAAGUAUAAACCUUUAUACGGUGAAACUGCGAAUGGCUCAUUAUAUCAGUUAUAAUUUAUUUGAUGAUCACUUUACUACUUGGAUAACCGUGGUAAUUCUAGAGCUAAUACAUGCAAAGGACCCAACUUCUGGAAGGGUCGUAUUUAUUAGAUAAAAACCAACGCCAGCAAUGGCCUAUGGUGAGUCAUGAUAACUCCUCGAAUCGCAUGGCCUUGCGCCGGCGAUGUUUCAUUCAAAUUUCUGCCCUAUCAAUUUGAUGGUAGGAUAGAGGCCUACCAUGGUGGUAACGGGUGACGGAGAAUUAGGGUUCGAUUCCGGAGAGGGAGCCUGAGAAACGGCUACCACAUCCAAGGAAGGCAGCAGG
rnacentral:rRNA from 1 species